UAGGAUUCCCUCAGUAGCGGCGAGCGAACAGGGAGAAGCCCAGCGCCGAAUCCCACGGUCCGAGAGGCCCGAUCGGGAAAUGUGGCGUUAAGGAGGAUCCGCUCGCCCCGAAGUCGCGCGCGGCACGUCAAAGUCCUUCUUGAAAGAGGCCGAUCCACCCGAAGAGGGUGCCAGGCCCGUAGGACUGCCGCCCGGCGACGGGUCGGAUCUCUCCCUAGAGUCGGGUUGCUUGAGAGUGCAGCCCUAAGCAGGUGGUAAACUCCAUCUAAGGCUAAAUACGACCACGAGACCGAUAGCGAACAAGUACCGCGAGGGAAAGUUGAAAAGAACUUUGAAGAGAGAGUUCAAGAGUACGUGAAACCGUUCAGGGGUGAACCUGAGAAACCCGAAAGUUCGAAAGCCGAGAUACAGCGUUCGUCCGCUCCGACUUUUGUGGCGAGGAGCGGCGACGUGCACUUUUCGGCUAGUAGGACGUCGCGACCCGUUGGGUCGCGCCGACGCGAUCUUACGGGACGGCGCGCGGGAAGCUCGACGGAGGAGGCGGGUCGCGAGGCCCGUCGCCCUUCCCGAACCCGCCGCGUCGCUCUCUGCGAUCGGCGCGCCCGACGCGAAAUUCAAGCACACACGAUGCACACGACGAGAGGCGGAGCGCCCCGUUUGCGCGCGUCCGACCCGACGGCGCUCGAGACGCUCGUUUGCCCGGCAGAAUCCGCGGACUCGCUCCGCGGACUCCGGGCGGCGCGCGAUCCGACGCCGCGGCGUUCUCGGACCUUCGGUCCGCCGAACGUCGGCGACGCUAUUGCUUUGGGUAAUCUCAGGACCCGUCUUGAAACACGGACCAAGGAGUCCAACGUGCGCGCGAGUCAAUGGGAACACAAAACUAUUAUUAAACCCAAAGGCGAAGCGAAAGCGAGUGGAUCUGAUAGAUCAGUUUGGGAGGAUGGGCGCGCCUUAACCGGUCGCCCCGCACUCCCGGGGCGUCUCGCCACGGUAGGUUAGCGUAGCGCGACUCGUCGCGCUCGCUGCCGCACCGGAGACGCACCUCUAGCGCGCACGCUGGGACCCGAAAGAUGGUGAACUAUGCCUGGUCAGGACGAAGUCAGGGGAAACCCUGAUGGAGGUCCGCAGCGAUUCUGACGUGCAAAUCGAUCGUCAGAACUGGGUAUAGGGGCGAAAGACCAAUCGAACCGUCUAGUAGCUGGUUCCCUCCGAAGUUUCCCUCAGGAUAGCUGGCGCUCGCAUUGCGACAUAUAUAUAGAGUCUCAUGCGGUAAAGCGAAUGAUUAGAGCGAAUCGGGGUCGAAACGACCUCUACCUAUUCUCAAACUUUAAAUGUGUGAGAUCUCCGGCUUGCCCGAUUAACGAAGCCGCGAGAUCGGA
rnacentral:rRNA from 1 species